UAAAAAAAGACAUUUUAAGCAACAAGUUUUAGAUCAGCUUGAUCAGUUAAGGGAUCAUGAUCCCAAGAAAUAUUGGAAACUCAUAAAUUCACCUAAAGAACGUAAAAAUGAUAACACUCUGGAUUCAGUCAAGCCAGAUGAUUGGCAUGAAUAUUUUUCAGAGCUCAAUAAGCCAUCAAAUUUACAAAGUAAUAGAAUACAUGAAAUAAAGUCUGA
rnacentral:lncRNA from 1 species